UCGAGAUUUUUUUGGGAAUCUUGGCAAUACGGCAAAACGCCUAAUUCAUAAUCUUCAUACGAAUUGGAGGGACGAUACCUUUUUACAGUGUUAUAGUUAUGAUUUAAUGAAACAUGUUGACGAUUAUGUGUUUUGGUAUACAGUGAAACAAGUUAUAUAAAGGGGUAUCGGUCCGUCUUUCUUUUAUCAUCAAACCAUUUGGAGUCAAAUGAAAAUUCUAAAAUUAAUAUCGGCGCUUGGAAUAGGAAUCUUUCUCGCAUCCUUACAUUUAUACGGUAGACAUAAAUAAAGCCACGAAAAUUCUAAAAUUAUAAAUACAGUACCUCAAGGCAAAGACGAAACCAAGCUAAUAUUAAAUAUAAAUUCAGUACCUCAAGGCAAAGAAAAUUAUAAAAUAGACUAAACCUCAAAAGCUAUUUACAUACCAUUUUUGUAGAAAAUUAUAAAAUAAAGACUAAACCUCAAAAGCUAUUUACAUACGCAAAGGAUAUUUGCCCUGUUGGCGCCUUUUUUAAACUCCAUUUAAAAAAAUAAAUACAGAAAAUAAAAGAAGAAGCUACAAAUUUAUCAUUGAUUCAAGAGGCUAAAGAUUUAUUAUUGAUUCAAGAAGCUAAAGAUUUAAAAACAGAAAAUAAAAGAAGAAGCUACAAAUUUAUCAUUGAUUCAAGAGGCUAAAGAUUUAUUAUUGAUUAAAGAAGCUAAAGAUUUAAAAACAGAAAAUAAAAGAAGAAGCUACAAAUUUAUCAUUGAUUCAAGAGGCUAAAGAUUUAUCAUUGAUUCAAGAAGCUAAAGAUUUAAAAACAGAAAAUAAAAGAAGAAGCUACAAAUUUAUCAUUGAUUCAAGAGGCUAAAGAUUUAUUAUUGAUUCAAGAAGCUAAAGAUUUAAAAACAGAAAAUAAAAGAAGAAGCUACAAAUUUAUCAUUGAUUCAAGAGGCUAAAGAUUUAUCAUUGAUUCAAGAAGCUAAAGAUUUAAAAACAGAAAAUAAAAGAAGAAGCUACAAAUUUAUCAUUGAUUUAAGAGGCUAAAGAUUUAUUAUUGAUUCAAGAAGUUAAAAAUUUAAAAACAGAAGCUACAAAUUUAUCAUUGAUUCAAGAGGCUAAAGAUUUAUCAUUGAUUCAAGAAGCUAAAGAUUUAAAAACAGAA